GGGUAGGGGGUGAGAAGCCAGGUGGGGAAGCAAGUUGGUUGGGUAUGAUGGGGUGUGGUAGCGCACCGGGCAGGGAGACGAGGGUCCCCUAGGAAUAGGGAGGGGAGUGGCUUGUCAGAUUUUGAGACGGGGAGCGGAGGCCGUGAAGGCAGGUGUGAUGGAAGCAAAAGAACACAGCUCAACGGGCACAGGACCGGCCGUGCCAGAGAAGACGCAGGGAGGGAAGAGGCAGUAGAAGGGUGAAAGACAAGAGAGAGAGAGAAGGACGCGCGCGGGUCGCGCGGGCGCCGGGGAGCGGGGGCCGCGGUCGGCUUCACUCACAGUCCAGGUGCUUUUUCUUGGGCCCCAUGAUCUCGUGGGUCGUGGCCUUGCAUACUGUCUUGGAUACGGCAGAGCCGGUGACACUGUGCUGGGCGGCAGUGAUUCGGUCCGUCAGGCUCUGGCCGGACAUCUCUGCAGCUCCUCCACCACCCCACCCGCUCAGCAGCCGGCGGGGACUGGGACCCCCAAGAGCCGGAGGGUCCCCACCCCCCACCGCACCCCCUACCCCCACCGGCUCCUUCCCCGCCUGCCGGCCUGGGGCGCGGUUCGGGGCCGCGCGCUGCCACCAGUCCAGAGAGAACCGGCUCGUGUCACCCGCGGAGUCGGACAAGAUGUCGGGCACUCCCUUGCCCCCGCCUCAGUUCAGCCCACCCCUUCCCGGGUCAGCUGGAGCCGGGCAGGCAUGUCUACUGGGCAUGGAGGCAUAAGCCUAUAGUCAUAGCU
rnacentral:lncRNA from 1 species